AAUUUGUUCGAACGGUGGAACAUGUGGUUUAAUGCGAUAAUCCACGUAAAAUCUUACCAAUAUUUAAAAUUAAAUUAGAUUAAAUUAAUAAUUUUUUUAUUAAAUAAAUUUAAUUUCGGUAUUGCAUGGCUGUCGUCAGUUCGUGUUGUGAAAUGUAAAAUUAAGUUUUAUUUACGAACGCAACCUAUUAUAUAUUUUAAUUUAAUUUAUUAAAUUUUAAUGUGUAUUAUACUUUAAUAGUAUGUUAGGUUUUAGCUGAAGUCAAGUCCUUAUGGUCUUUAUAUAUUGGGCUACACACGUGUUACAAAGGUAAAAACAAAAAGUAACAAAUGCGUAAGCAAGAGUAAAUCUUAAAAAAUUACCGUAGUUUGGAUUAUUUUAUGUAACUCUAAAAUAUGAAAACGAAAUCGUUAGUAAUUAUAGGUUAGUAUACUAUAGUGAAAUAUAAGUCAAAUUUUGCACACACUGCCCAUCACGCUCGAAAAAUUUUAUACAAUCUGAAAUAAAAUAAAAUAAAUAUUAAUUUUUAAUAUAUUAGUUUUAUUUAUUGAAAUUUUGUAAAGUGAUUU
rnacentral:rRNA from 1 species